GUGCUUGCUUCGGCAGCACAUAUACUAAAAUUGGAACGAUACAAAGAAGAUUAGCAUGGCCUCUGUAGAAGGAUGACAUGCAAAUUCGUGAAGCAGUCCAGGAGAGA
rnacentral:snRNA from 1 species